CGCCACGGAGUCGUUGUCACCCCCCUCCGUUGCCAUAGCGACCGGUCGCACCGGCCGCAGCCAAGAUGGCGUCGCCGCAACCGCCACCGCGUCCCCGGCAGCCCACGCGUGACGCUGUUCCGAGCCCCCCCCCGGCCACGCUGAGGCUGAGCAGCGAGCGUGGUACCUGCGGGGACACCCCGAGACGCGGCUGUUGAUUCGCGGCUUCCUCAGGGAGCUGCUGCACCAGCGCCCGGAUGAUGUCCUGGAGUUCGCUGCAGGGUACUUUACGCAGCCGGAGCUGCCGCGUCGCAUCCGGGAGCAGCUGGGGGGGCCGGGAGCAGCGUCUUGAGGGGGGGGUCUCACCCCAAUAAAAGCGCUGGGACCCCCCCCACCCCACCUGUGUCCCCCCCUGUGACCGAGCAGCUCCAGGAACCACCC